AUUGAACGCUGGCGGCAUGCUUUACACAUGCAAGUCGAGCGGUAACAGGCCGCAAGGUGCUGACGAGUGGCGAACGGGUGAGUAAUGCAUCGGAACGUGCCCAGUCGUGGGGGAUAACGCAGCGAAAGCUGCGCUAAUACCGCAUACGAUCUAUGGAUGAAAGCGGGGGACCGUAAGGCCUCGCGCGAUUGGAGCGGCCGAUGUCAGAUUAGGUAGUUGGGGGGGUAAAGGCGCACCAAGCCAACGAUCUGUAGCUGGUGUGAGAGGACGACCAGCCACACUGGGACUGAGACACGGCCCAGACGCCUACGGGAGGCAGCAGUGGGGAAUUUUGGACAAUGGGCGCAAGCCUGAUCCAGCAAUGCCGCGUGCAGGAAGAAGGCCUUCGGGUUGUAAACUGCUUUUGUACGGAACGAAACGGUCCUGGUUAAUACCUGGGGCUAAUGACGGUACCGUAAGAAUAAGCACCGGCUAACUACGUGCCAGCAGCCGCAGUAAAAC
rnacentral:rRNA from 1 species